rnacentral:misc_RNA from 1 species
GAUGAAGAACGUAGCGAAAUGCGAUAAGUAGUGUGAAUUGCAGAAUUCAGUGAAUCAUCGAAUCUUUGAACGCACAUUGCGCCCCUUGGUAUUCCAUGGGGCAUGCCUGUUCGAGCGUCAUUGCUGCCCUCAAGCACGGCUUGUGUGUUGGGCCUCCGCCCCCCGGCUCCCGGGGGGCGGGCCCGAAAGGCAGCGGCGGCACCGCGUCCGGUCCUCGAGCGUAUGGGGCUUCGUCACCCGCUCCGUAGGCCCGGCCGGCGCCCGCCGGCGACCCCCCUCAAUCUUUCCAGGUUGACCUCGGAUCAGGUAGGGAUACCCGCUGAACUUAAGCAUAUCAAUAAGCGGAGGA